rnacentral:rRNA from 1 species
UGGGGAAUUUUGGACAAUGGGCGAAAGCCUGAUCCAGCAAUGCCGCGUGUGUGAAGAAGGCCUUCGGGUUGUAAAGCACUUUUGUCCGGAAAGAAAUCCUUGGCUCUAAUACAGUCGGGGGAUGACGGUACCGGAAGAAUAAGCACCGGCUAACUACGUGCCAGCAGCCGCGGUAAUACGUAGGGUGCAAGCGUUAAUCGGAAUUACUGGGCGUAAAGCGUGCGCAGGCGGUUUGCUAAGACCGAUGUGAAAUCCCCGGGCUCAACCUGGGAACUGCAUUGGUGACUGGCAGGCUAGAGUAUGGCAGAGGGGGGUAGAAUUCCACGUGUAGCAGUGAAAUGCGUAGAGAUGUGGAGGAAUACCGAUGGCGAAGGCAGCCCCCUGGGCCAAUACUGACGCUCAUGCACGAAAGCGUGGGGAGCAAACAGGAUUAGAUACCCUGGUAGUCCACGCCCUAAACGAUGUCAACUAGUUGUUGGGGAUUCAUUUCCUUAGUAACGUAGCUAACGCGUGAAGUUGACCGCCUGGGGAGUACGGUCGCAAGAUUAAAACUUAAAGGAAUUGACGGGGU